CUGGGGAGUGAUACCGUGAAAAAAAUACACUCCUAUUUUUUUCCUUAUCUUGAGAUAUCUAUAAUGUAUGAUAUAUCCUAAGGAUAUCAUCUAUGGUAUCAAUUAUUCAGUUUACUUCAUCAGACUUCCAGAUUAACCCACAGUCACAUUGCCAAAACUUUCAUAAUCCACAUCAAACAUGGUCUUCCUUUGGUUCUAAAAUAUGCUUAAUAUCAUCUCAACCAUUUCUAUACAAUGUUUUGUUUCCAAAGUUUAAAACAUAGGAUUUGUAACAUUAUAGUUGACAAUAAUACUCUGAUUUUAUGGU